rnacentral:lncRNA from 7 species
GGAUACAGCUGCCUGCUUGAAAGCACUUGUAAACUUUCCAUGGAAAAGUAGUUUAUAUUACGGCAAUAACUUCGAACACUAACUUCAAGCUUUCAUUGAGAGCACAGAUUCUAUAGCAACGAAGUAACAAUGGCAACAAAAUUGCAUUCCGUUGAUUGAAGCUUUUUAAGUAAGAGCCCGUGAGACAUGUGGUGUGUGGCUGCAGAUACAGUCCCCAGGAAAGAUUUCUUCUGCCGUAGGCAAGAAUACCUUAUGUGAGGCUUAGGCCAACAGGUCAAGAAAUGUAAAUGCAGAAACAUGCUAAACAUACCACCUGGCAUAAGGCUUUGCCUGGAAAUGCUGUACUCCAAUGGAUGAUCUGUAUAGUUCACACCAGAAUGAAUACUGGAGAAUAGAACUGGGUCACAACAACACGUAUAGUCUGUUUCCUCGCUACUUAUUUUCUGAAUAACCAUGUAGGACUUUAUGUGUAAAUACAAUGCCUUAAACUAAAUCCAAGCAAAACCAUCAGAUUGAUAUAAAGCUUUGUUAUUUUUAUAUUUUUCAGAUAAUACAGAUGUCUUUUGUGUGUAUAUAUGUAUAUGAAAACAAUGUACAAUAAGAUAAUUAGCGGUUCAGUGGUACUAAAAAGCUGUGCCAGCAACACGGCCUUAUUAUUCACAUUUCUAUUAUACAAGCAAUACCAAAAUAUAUUCGGGUUGGAAGAUGUCAAGUAAAUGGGUGACACUGUUUCUAGCUUGUCUAACUACCAUUAAUUUAGUUAGUAUUCAUUGUAAUUACACUGAUCAUAAUGAAUUCAUUUAGUAUUAAUGUGAACAUUAGAGAUCUUUUUAGGAACUUCAUUAUAAUUCAGCAAUAAUUAAUGUACAUAUUAAAUGAAGUGUUACUACUCAAUGCUAUUAUAAAGCCAUGUUGUUUCAUUUGAAAAUCUUUAGAGCGGGUUGUGUUUGAUCUGGUUGGUAUUCUGACUGUUACCAAGAGGUAUUCUGCAAUGGCAAAGGGCAAUUCACAUUGGAAGACUCUUGUUAACUUUUCAGAGAGAUUCCAUGUUUGCACUUGUCUACUGGUCCCCAUAUAACUUAACAUUUGAAACAGCAUACUUCAUGGCCGUGAUAAUGCAAAAAAUAAUAAUAAUAAUAAUACUAAAAAAAAAAACUUCAACAAAUAAUUUCUAAUGUUUUAGACAUUAUCCAGUAAAGGAGGUACUUGUUUAGAAGUAAACUGCAGCGCAGUACUUUGCUGACAUGCUGAUUAUAUAUUAACCUACACUGAUUACAUAUUGUAUAUUUACUUAUACAGUGAUUAUUAUUCCCUCGUACCCUCCAAGUGGAAUCCAAAACUGAGAAACAAUUAUUUCCCCUAUAUCACACAUUUGGAAAAGCUAGGUUCUUAAAUGGCAUUUAUCAGGCAGUUACACAAAAAUAAUGAAAAGUAUAGCAAAAGAAGGAAUCACCUAGAAUCAUAUGGCUGUGCAUCUUAUCCACUGGCAAUGAGUGUAAAUAUAUUCCCAGAAAAAGUGAGAGCAGUAUGUACAUAACAUUUUUCCAGAUGCUUUCCAGGCCUCCAACAAUAUGAGCUGAAGAAAUUUCAGCUAAGGUGAUUUACAGAGAUUAAAAUGUUGUUGGUUUUCUCCUCCAUUAAUCUUUUCUUAUAAACUAUGUAAACUUUAAAAUGGUGUCCUUUGACACUAAGUUGCACAGGUCUACUACUCUGUUCAUUCUGUACAUUAACAAAAAAAAAAAAUCAUUUUUAAUAUAGUUUUGUAUAGCUUCAUUUAAAUCUACAUUGGAUUGGAUAGAUUUGAAUGGGAAGAACAAUGAACAGUUAAUGCCUGUCCACUCCCUCUGUGCCACCAGUGACUUGUGAGUGUCAGCUCACAAAUAUCCAUCCCUCUUAGGAGGUCUUGUCAAGAAAAGCAUCCUACUCCUCUAUCUGCACAGAAGAUGUUGUUUACCCUUUCUGGAUUUUGUAUGCUAGAUGUGGUUUUCGCAGUGAGAGAUGGUUACACCAUUUCAAAAUGAUUUCUCCUGCUUUUCUUCUCAGUUUCUUACUGAAUAUUUGAACACUUGUGGAACUACUUAUUGACUUAAGUCUGUAUAGUAAUUAUAAGCUCCAGUGUUCUUUUUUCACCUUGUGCGUCACUUUACGUUUAUUUACAUGACAUUUAAUCUGCCAUUGUAUUGCUCUGUCACUAUCUGUCUGCACUGCAUUAUACAUCUUCUAGCUCUGUACCUUUGCAAUUUUAGGUGAGAGAGAAUGCACUGGCACUAGUCAAUAAACUGUUCCAUCUG